rnacentral:rRNA from 1 species
AGUGAACGCUGGCGGUAGGCCUAACACAUGCAAGUCGAACGGCAGCACAGUAAGAGCUUGCUCUUACGGGUGGCGAGUGGCGGACGGGUGAGGAAUACAUCGGAAUCUACUUUUUCGUGGGGGAUAACGUAGGGAAACUUACGCUAAUACCGCAUACGACCUACGGGUGAAAGCAGAGGAUCUUCGGACCUUGCGCGGUUGAAUGAGCCGAUGGCGGAUUAGCUAGUUGGCGGGGUAAAGGCCCACCAAGGCGACGAUCCGUAGCUGGUCUGAGAGGAUGAUCAGCCACACUGGAACUGAGACACGGUCCAGACUCCGACGGGAGGCAGCAGUGGGGAAUAUUGGACAAUGGGCGCAAGCCUGAUCCAGCCAUACCGCGUGGGUGAAGAAGGCCUUCGGGUUGUAAAGCCCUUUUGUUGGGAAAGAAAAGCAGCAGGUUAAUACCCCGCUGUCCUGACGGUACCCAAAGAAUAAGCACCGGCUAACUUCGUG